AAUCAACGCUGGCGGCGUGCCUAACACAUGCAAGUCGAGCGCGAAAGGGGAGCAAUCCCCAAGUGGAGCGGCGAACGGGUGAGUAACGCGUGGGUAAUCUGCCUCCGAGUGGGGAACAACAUCGGGAAACUGGUGCUAAUACCGCAUAACAUCGUCGGGUUUUCGGAUCUGACGAUCAAAGCCGGGGACCGCAAGGCCUGGCGCUUGGAGAGGAGCCCGCGUCCGAUUAGCUAGUGGUGGGGUAAUGGCCCACCAAGGCUUCGAUCGGUAGCCGGCCUGAGAGGGCGGACGGCCACACUGGGACUGAGACACGGCCCAGACUCCUACGGGAGGCAGCAGUGGGGAAUUUUUCGCAAUGGGCGAAAGCCUGACGAAGCAACGCCGCGUGGAGGAUGAAGGCCU
rnacentral:rRNA from 1 species